CCAGUUUAGUGCAUAAAACCCAUCGACUAUACUCAAGAUUAGUAUAGUCAAUAUUUGUGAAAUAAAUGCUCCAGGCUCCAUCCCAAACAUCCCAUCAUCCUUGAACUUUUAAAAGCGAAAACUGCGUCCUCCCUAUUCCGGUAGAAAUACUGGUAAAUCUCUGACCAACAAGAGACCUUCCUAUACAGCUCAGGAAUGAUGUUUAAACAUAUGCUACUGGUAUGUGCCAAUAUUUAUGUUAAACCUCACAUUCUUC